GAUUAUACAAUUACUUUCCAGGAGGUUACUGGACAGUGGCCCUUCGGAUACUAUUGGUGUCAGAUACACUCUGCCCUUGAUGUACUACUGUGUACUUCUUCAAUUCUUCAUCUCUGCCUAAUAGCAUUGGACAGAUAUUGGUCGAUAACUAAGGCCAUAGAAUACGUCAACUGGAGGUAAAUAUAAACAUAUUAAAACAAAAAUACAGCGUGAACCAUUAAACUGUAG